rnacentral:snoRNA from 2 species
AACCCAUGAUGUGGAACAUCGAUCAGAAAAUCUUUGAACCUCUCCCAAGCAGCGUGUAGAGAUUCACCUUCAUCCUGUUUGAAUGUUAUGAUACGAUUCUUUAGCUU